CAACUCCGUUCCCAAUUGAACUACAGGUAGUUUAUUUUGGACACGACACAGACGCCACUUAACUGUUGUGAGGUGUUCACUUCUUCGUUCUAACACGUUUUUCAAAUUCAUAACGUAAACCAAAAUGGGUAUUUCUCCCGCUAGGACCUCGCAGCCGCGAGAAGAGAUCAGAUCACAUAGAAGUUAGUUAGCCAGAUAAACGGUCGAGCAACAAGCUUACUAUUCUGUGGGCUUAGUUAGAGAGACAGUGACACCGAAGGCAACCAUCUGAUUUAGCAAACAACACUUUACAACCAGAACAAGAUGCCAGGCGCUAAAUUCAGAGCUGUGUAUGUGCCUAGGUUUGCCACUCGGUCUUGUAGCUCUACUCAAAAGAGUGGUAGACAACAAACAGAUGAGUAUUUAAUCGAGUUGCCCAGUGAACAGAGAAAGCAAGGGCGUCUAGAUCUUUCAACUAAAAAGGUUAAACUGACCAAACACACCAAGCCUGUGAUCACAAUGAAGAAGAAAGUGAAAGAGGCCGACAUAUCGAAGCCCAAUAAUUCCCCUAUUCUAGAGUUCAAACAAAUAAAUCAACGACGCAUUCAUGGAGGAACAUCUCAAAGACUAAACCUGUCAAAUUCCAGAAUGUCAGGUGGUAGUCCUCACACAGUGAACGAAGAUGUCUUCACUUUCUCACAGAGGAACGAAGCCAUGUCAACAAGUGAAGCAGCUCCACAGCAGUCCAGGGCCAGACUGUCUGUGCUGAGAACCAUCUCCCGCAUGCUUCAGGAGAACCAGGGCAUCAGAGAGAGACUGGUGCCUCUCACACAUAACAGAUACUGCAGACUGGAGGGACACUGAGAUAGUCAGAUCUAGUCAGUCACCAGCAAGGCCAGUUCAAGUGUUGCAAUGGCCUCAUUUUAUAUCUGCGAUUUGACUUGGUCUUCAGUUACUCUUUUCGUCAAUGGUGGUGUUUCCAAAGGAUUCUUUUGUAUUCGUACUUGAUUGUUAACAUAUUGUAUGUAGUUUGCAUAUCUUCUGAACAAUGUCUGUUUGGAAGGAUAGUCAGUGCUUACAAAGUUACGUUCCUUUUCCUAAUGAAAAUACUGAAGCAAUAAGUAAUUUUUAAAAUGUUAAUUAAAACACCAUGUCAUGGCCUCUGGGCCCUUA